AUUGAACGCUGGCGGCAGGCCUAACACAUGCAAGUCGAGCGGAUGAAGGGAGCUUGCUCCUGGAUUCAGCGGCGGACGGGUGAGUAAUGCCUAGGAAUCUGCCUGGUAGUGGGGGAUAACGUCCGGAAACGGGCGCUAAUACCGCAUACGUCCUGAGGGAGAAAGUGGGGGAUCUUCGGACCUCACGCUAUCAGAUGAGCCUAGGUCGGAUUAGCUAGUUGGUGGGGUAAAGGCCUACCAAGGCGACGAUCCGUAACUGGUCUGAGAGGAUGAUCAGUCACACUGGAACUGAGACACGGUCCAGACUCCUACGGGAGGCAGCAGUGGGGAAUAUUGGACAAUGGGCGAAAGCCUGAUCCAGCAAUGCCGCGUGUGUGAAGAAGGUCUUCGGAUUGUAAAGCACUUUAAGUUGGGAGGAAGGGCAGUAAGUUGAUACCUUGCUGUUUUGACGUUACCAACAGAAUAAGCACCGGCUAACUUCGUG
rnacentral:rRNA from 1 species